AAUUUAUACCUUGUGACUUAAAAAAAAAAAAAAAAACUUUUUGAAACGAUUUGCCAAAUUUUUUUACAUCUAGGUUUAAGAGCAUCAUGACUAGGAACCUGCAAAAAUAAUUUUAAGUUUAAUUGAAAUUUCUGAUAUUUUGGGCAACCAUCUUAUUAGAGACUAAUUGUAAAUAUCUAAAAAUGUACUAAGCAGAUUAACUAUAGCCUAUGUACAUUGACAGGUAAACUCAGGAUGGGGAGAACAGCAGGAGGAGGCGUUUUGGCCAGGCUGAUCAUUCUGAAGGUUGUUUCUCUCUUGAGUUUUUCUGUGAUAUAAGAUAAAGGUACAUGGCAAGUACUGCAGGUACUAACAGCACACUGGCUAGUGAGACGACAUUUUAAUUUUCAUUCGAAGUGUUGAAAUGGGCGGGAACCUGCUGCCUGUGCCUCCAGGUGUAAUCAGGACUAGAGCAGGGCAGGAAAGCCUGGCGCACAGGCUUGUCCGCCUCAAGCCUGUACAGGAGUGGUGUUUGUCAAACGCAAUCCAGACGCACAAGCCAAGGCAGAGAGAAGGCAUCUGAGGCUCCCGCUGCCUGCCAGGAACACUGUAGUAAGAGGGUGAUGAAAUAUUUCACUUUUCAAAACCGAGGGAGCAGGAAAUUUCUCACCAUCUGCCCACUCCUGACACAUGUAGUCCUAACCCCUGCCACCCUCCCCACCCCCAUCACACCAGCCCAAGACAGAAUCUAAUGGAAGGGGUGAAGAAUAAAACCAAAUUCCAUACGAGGGGAGAUCAGGCCUGUCUUCCUGAGGGUAGAAAGGAAUUGAGUGGGAAAAGACAUUCGAUGUUACAUGAAAACCCUUACAAGGAUACUUUUAUAGAAUAUAUUCACCCCAACGAGAGGAAGUGUGAACUGCUUCCAAGUUCAACAGUUCGAUGUGGCUUUUUGGGCUCUCCUAGAACUGUCCUUCAUGGCCCCUACUCCUUGGUCUCCAUGGUCUACUUCCUGUCUUUUACACCUGUCCCCCUUCCCCCUGCACUACCUAGCAGCAGGCUCUGCUUCCAGCUCUUUCUGUGUCUGAGGGGACCUACCUUGUUCAUCCCUGUUCAUGUUUACAUGUGUGUGUGCACGCAUGUGUGCCUGUGUGAUAGUCAAAUAUAGCUCAACGGAACAGAACAAGCAAUAGAAGAAGAGAAACAGCACAAACAUUACUAUGCAUCUUCUAGUCCCACCAGCUAUGUGUGACUGUUGGCAAAUCCCUUUUCACCCUGCAGUUUUUUCAAAUGUGAAAUGAAGAUAACAAUUAUCACCUCAUAUGACUGUUAUAAAGUACUUGGCACAUGCAAAUUCUUAAGAAAUGUCAGCUGAGGCUGGGCGCGGUGGCUCACGCCUGUAAUCCCAGCACUUUGGGAGGCCGAGGCGGGCAGAUUGCCUGAGCCUAGGAAUUCAAGAGUGGCCUGGGCAACAUGGUGAAACCCCAUCUCUACUAAAAAUACAAAAAAAUUAGCUGGGCGUGGUGGCGGGUGCCUGUAGUCCCAGCUACUCGGGAGGUUGAGGCACAAGAAUCGCUUGAACCCAGGAGGCAGAGGUUGCAGUGAGCCCAAGAUCGCACCACUGCACUCCAGCCUGGGCUACAAAGUGAGACUCGGUCUUAAAAAAAAAAAAAAAAAAAAAAAAAAA
ensembl:lncRNA